GAGAAGCACAAGGACUGGACUUUGACAGGAAGCAACGAGGCAAGAGGGAAGCUCGAGAACAGAAGCACCUCCAAGGAUCACGUAGGACCAGCAGAAGCAGCGUAAAGUAUUGGAACUUUGAAUCUGACAUCAGAAAGACCUGCACUCAGCCGGGCACGGUGGCUCACGAUUGUAAUCCCAGGCCGAGGCGGUGGAUCACUUGAGAUUCACUGAUUCUAGGUAAAUCAGAGGAACAAGCAACAUGAACAGAAAAAAUGUAGAAAAUGCAAUUAUGCUGAAGUACAAUUGUUGUUUCAGAAGUCCAGCAUCUGGUGUACUUAACAAUAGAGAAUAUAUUAAAUUUUUCCAAAAUAAAAAAAACAAGUAGGAGACUCGCUAGUGAAAAUUAAAUGGCAUAUGCAAAGUCUUUAAUACAGCAUUUGGUACAUGAGAGGGACUCAGUAAAUUUUAGUAACUUAUAAUUAUUAGGAAGACUAUGACUGCCCCCAUUUAAAAGAUCAGCAGUCUGAGGCUUAUAAAGACCAAGACUUAUUCAAGUCUUGUGAUUUCCAGCCUGAGGCUCUUUCUACUUUGUGAAAACUGAGAGACUGUGGCUCAGUGGCUCUGAGCUCAGAGGGCUUUACCUGCCAAAGGUCCAGGCUGAGAACACUAAUGUUAUAAUAGUGACAAAUGGUGGCGUCAGGCUUAUAUUUAGGGUUGUCUAUUUUGGGAUGAAUCUACUCCCCCUGGUAAUUGGGAUUUUCAAUGAUCCAAGGUUUCCAUUCUCCCUAAGCAAAGAACCAGUGAACAAGGCAUUAGUAUUUUGUCAUUCUUCUGAUCUCAUGCAAUCAGAAAGGCCAAUUGAUAUGGUUUGGAUCUGUGUCCCCACCCAAAUCUCAUGUCAAAUUGUAAUCCCCAGUGUUGGAGGUGAGGCCUGGUGGGAGGUGAUUGGAUCAUGGGGGCAGAGUUCUCAUAAAUGGUUUAGCACGAUCCCCCCUUGGUACUGCAUAGUGAGUGAGUUAUCAUGAUAUCUGGUUACUUUUAAAUUGUGUAGCACCUCCCCCCUUUCUCUCUUGCUCCUGCUCCCACCGUGUGAGAAACCCUGCCAUCACUUUCCGCCAUCACAGUGGACACCUGAGGCCUCCCCAGAAGCUGAUGCUGCCAUGCUUUCUGUAUAGCUAUAGCCUGCAGACCCAUGAGCCAAUUAAGCCUCUUUUCUUUAUAAAUUACCCAGUCUCAGGUAUUUCUUUAUAGCAAUGCAAGAAUGGACUAAUACACCAAUUGAUUUAUGAGGCAGUUGUGUAUUAGACAUAAGGAUUCAGAGAAGGAUUCCAGGAGCUUCUUUCCCUUUCUUUGAGUUAAUGCACAAGAUUCUUUCAAAUUCCCCUUGCUACCCAGAGGAAGCCAAGCGAGGUGGCAGGGACCCAUUCUGAGCUUGGCCCCAUGUCUGCACCAGCUCAUUCAUGAAAUAAAGAAAAUGUAGCUUCUCAGAGAAUAUCAUCUGAGUAUCCUGGCAGUUGAGGCCGUUCUCUUCCUGGUGUGUAGUGUAGGAAACUGUGGCCAAAUAAAAUCAUGCUUGCUUCAGUCAGUUUUACCUCUGGACAAUUUGACACUGAUUCCUUUCGUUCUUCUUGCUUCUAACAUGAGGUCAGGAGUUAGCUCUUAAAAAUAAGUGUCCCUUGGCUGGGUGCAGUGGUUCACUCCUGUAAUCCUAGCACUUUGGGAGGCAAAGGCAGGCGGAUCGCUUGAGGUCAGGAAUUCAAAACCAGCCUGGCCAAUAGAGUGAAACCGCGUCUCUACUGCAAAUACAAAAAAUUAGCCAGGCGUGGUGGCACGUGCCUGUAGUCCCAGCUACUCGGGAGGCUGAGGCAUGAGAAUCUCUUGAGCCCAGGAGGUGGAGGUUGCAGUAAGCCGAGAUCACGUCACUGCACUGCAGCCUGGGUGACAGAGCAACGCUCUGUCUCAAAAUAAAUGAAUAAAUAAAUAAAAUAAAAAGUGUCCCUACCCCUUGCAUUUUUGGCUCAUUCAUGGACACCCUUUCUCCUUCUGGCCUGUUUCUAAGACUUCCAGUUCCUGACCCCAAACCCAUGUCCUAUUUUGACCACAUUCCUGUGACUGGCUGCUUUCCACCACUCUGGACAAACUCCAGGCCCAGGGCUGCCUGGCCCUAUACCUGUCAAAGUUGGCCUUUACCAGCCCACCCCGUCCAACGUAGGCAUAGCCCUGUGAGCAGGGCUCAGAUGAGGGUACAGUCUUAUUUGCGGGGUUUAGGGGAAGGGAAGAUGACCACAGGAUCUCAGAAUUUCUGUUUCAUCAAUUAGCGUUGACAUGUCUUUUGUCUCAUUUCUCACACCCAUUGGAAAGAGAGACCCCCCUCACCUUAUACUUCGGAUUUGGCAUCAGAGGCCUUUCCCACUCCCCAUCCAUAGCCUCCUUCCAGUUAUCUGGCUUCUUGGCUUCUGGAUCCAGGAUGUAUUCAAAGUCUUCCCAGUACUAAAAUGAAAUGUUCCUUCAUGAGGAUAGAUGCGUAGGCUGAGAAAAAACUGGGGUCCAGGCUGGGCGUGGUGGCUCACAUCUAUAAUCCUAGCACUUUGGAGGCCAACGUGGGAGGACUGCUUGAGCCCAGGAGUUCAAGACCGGCCUGGGCAAUAUAGUGAGACCCCAUCCCUACCCCAAAGAACUUUAAAAAUUAGGCAAGUGUGGUGGCAUGCACCUGGUGGGAGGAUCUGAGCCCAGGAGGCAGAGGUCACAGUGAGCCAUGAUCAUGCCAUUGCACUCUAGCCUGGGUGACAGAGCGAGAUCAUCUCAAAAA
rnacentral:lncRNA from 1 species